rnacentral:rRNA from 1 species
GUCCUUUUGAAGAUUUAUUUAAGGUCUAGCCUGCCCAAUGAGGAUUUGAAUGGCCGCGGUAUAUUAACUGUGCUAAGGUAGCAUAAUCACUUGUCUUUUAAUUGAGGGCUUGAAUGAAUGGUUGGACGAAGUAUCAUCUUUCUUUAAUUUAUUUUAUGAAUUUAAUUUUUUAGUUAAAAAGCUAAAAUUUUCUUGGGGGACGAGAAGACCCUAUAGAUCUUUAUAUGUAAAGUGAUUAUGUGAUUUAGGAAUAAUUUACUUUAAUUAUUUUAUUUAUUAAGUUGGGGUGACUGUGGAAUUAGUUUAACUUCCAUUUUAACAUUCCAUUAAUUAGUGUUUUAUUGAUCCACUUUUAGUGAUUAAAAGCUUAAGUUACCUUAGGGAUAACAGCGUAAUUUCUUCGGAGAGUUCAUAUCGAUGAAGGAGAUUGCGACCUCGAUGUUGGAUUAAAAUUAGUAAUGGAUGUAGAAGUUCAUUAACUAGGUCUGUUCGACCUUUUAAGUUUU